ACCAUGACCACAGGGGCCUCUUCCCUGUCCCCCCUCGCCUACCCCCGUCUGUCCUCCAUGCAGCAGCCAGCCAGCCAGGUGAUCCUUUUAAAACACAAUCCGAUCAAGUUCUUCCUCUGCUUAAAACGCUCAGUGAUUCCCCUCAGACAUGGAUUAAAAUCCCUGUUCCUCGCCCUGACCUACAAGGGCCUGGGUGGUCAGUCCUGGAUCUGUCUGCCUCUGGCCUCAGCCCCUCCCAGCUUCCUCUGCACAGCCCUCUGCCUGGCUCCUUCCUGGAGGACCCAUCCCUGCUAGUGGGGUUACCCGACCUACCCCUGCCCUGCACUGACCCCCGCCCUCCUACCUCGUUGCACACCAGCCUCUGAGAUGACCUUCUCGGUCCUGUUUACCGAAGUUUCCUGGUACUGGGGGCAGCGCCUGGGGCAGAGCAGGCUCUGUCAACCCCCACUGAAUACAUACGCUGUGCAGGUGCUUAGCACUCGG
ensembl:lncRNA novel transcript, sense intronic to TTYH1